AUACGGAGGAUCCGAGCGUUAUCCGGAUUUAUUGGGUUUAAAGGGUGCGCAGGCGGGAGAUUAAGUCGGCGGUGAAAUUUUGCAGCUCAACUGUAAAAGUGCCUUCGAAACUGGGUUCCUUGAGUGUAGAUGAAGUAGGCGGAAUUUGUGGUGUAGCGGUGAAAUGCAUAGAUAUCACGAGGAACUCCGAUUGCGCAGGCAGCUUAUUAAACUACUACUGACGCUCAGGCACGAAGGCGUGGGGAUCAAACAGGAUUAGAUACCCUGGUAGUCCACGCAGUAAACGAUGAUUACUAGCUGUUUGCGAUACAAUGUAAGCGGCUGAGCGAAAGCGUUAAGUAAUCCACCUGGGGAGUACGUUCGCAAGAAUGAAACUCAAAUGAAUUGACGGGG
rnacentral:rRNA from 1 species